CCUACGGGAGGCAGCAGUGAGGAAUAUUGGUCAAUGGGCGCGAGCCUGAACCAGCCAAGUAGCGUGAAGGAUGACUGCCCUACGGGUUGUAAACUUCUUUUAUAAAGGAAUAAAGUGAGGCACGUGUGCCUUUUUGCAUGUACUUUAUGAAUAAGGAACGGCUAAAUCCGCGCCAGCAGCCGCGGUAAUACGGAGGAUCCGAGCGUUGUGCGGAUUUAUUGGGUUUAAAGGGAGCGUAGAUGGGGUGUUAAGUCAGUUGUGAAAGUUUGCGGCUCAACCGGAAAAUUGCAAUUGUUACUGGCAACCUUGAGUACAGUAGAGGUAGGCAGAAUUCGUGGUGUAGCGGUGAAAUGCGUAGAGAUCACGAAGAACACCGAUGGCGAAGGCAGCCUACUAAACUGCCACUGACAUUGAGGCGCGAAAGUGUGGGGAGCAAACAGGAUUAGAUACCCUAGUAGUC
rnacentral:rRNA from 1 species